rnacentral:rRNA from 1 species
CUAGCCUGCUAAAUAGUGGCUGGAUUUUUGAGUCCAGUCUACUUCUUAGAGGGAUAAGCGGUGUUUAGCCGCACGAGAUUGAGCGAUAACAGGUCUGUGAUGCCCUUAGAUGUCCGGGGCUGCACGCGCGCUACAAUGGAAGAAUCAGCUGGCCUAUCCAUUGCCGAAAGGCAUUGGUAAACCGUUGAAACUCUUCCGUGACCGGGAUAGGGAAUUGUAAUUAUUUCCCUUGAACGAGGAAUUCCUAGUAAGUGUGAGUCAUCAGCUCACGCUGAUUACGUCCCUGCCAUUUGUACACACCGCCCGUCGCUGUCCGGGACUGAGCUGUCUCGAGAGGACUGCGGACUGCUGUAUCGAGGCCUUCGGGUCGCGGUAUGGCGGGAAACAGUUCAAUCGCAAUGGCUUGAACCGGGUAAAAGUCGUAACAAGGUAUCUGUAGGUGAACCUGCACAUGGAUCAU